CGCUGGCGGCGUGCCUAAUACAUGCAAGUCGAGCGAAUGGAUUGAGAGCUUGCUCUUAUGAAGUUAGCGGUGGACGGGUGAGUAACACGUGGGUAACCUGCCCAUAAGACUGGGAUAACUCCGGGAAACCGGGGCUAAUACCGGAUAAUAUUUUGAACUGCAUGGUUCGAAAUUGAAAGGCGGCUUCGGCUGUCACUUAUGGAUGGACCCGCGUCGCAUUAGCUAGUUGGUGAGGUAACGGCUCACCAAGGCAACGAUGCGUAGCCGACCUGAGAGGGUGAUCGGCCACACUGGGACUGAGACACGGCCCAGACUCCUACGGGAGGCAGCAGUAGGGAAUCUUCCGCAAUGGACGAAAGUCUGACGGAGCAACGCCGCGUGAGUGAUGAAGGCUUUCGGGUCGUAAAACUCUGUUGUUAGGGAAGAACAAGUGCUAGUUGAAUAAGCUGGCACCUUGACGGUACCUAACCAGAAAGCCACGGCUAACUACGUGCCAGCAGCCGCGGUAAUACGUAGGUGGCAAGCGUUAUCCGGAAUUAUUGGGCGUAAAGCGCGCGCAGGUGGUUUCUUAAGUCUGAUGUGAAAGCCCACGGCUCAACCGUGGAGGGUCAUUGGAAACUGGGAGACUUGAGUGCAGAAGAGGAAAGUGGAAUUCCAUGUGUAGCGGUGAAAUGCGUAGAGAUAUGGAGGAACACCAGUGGCGAAGCGACUUUCUGGUCUGUAACUGACACUGAGGCGCGAAAGCGUGGGAGCAAACAGGAUUAGAUACCCUGGUAGUCCACGCCGUAAACGAUGAGUGCUAAGUGUUAGAGGGUUUCCGCCCUUUAGUGCUGAAGUUAACGCAUUAAGCACUCCGCCUGGGGAGUACGGCCGCAAGGCUGAAACUCAAAGGAAUU
rnacentral:rRNA from 1 species